UGGGAAACAGGUUAAUAUUCCUGUACUUGGUGUUACUGCGAAGGGGGGACGGAGAAGGCUAUGUUGGCCGGGCGACGGUUGUCCCGGUUUAAGCGUGUAGGCUGGUUUUCCAGGCAAAUCCGGAAAAUCAAGGCUGAGGCGUGAUGACGAGGCACUACGGUGCUGAAGCAACAAAUGCCCUGCUUCCAGGAAAAGCCUCUAAGCAUCAGGUAACAUCAAAUCGUACCCCAAACCGACACAGGUGGUCAGGUAGAGAAUACCAAGGCGCUUGAGAGAACUCGGGUGAAGGAACUAGGCAAAAUGGUGCCGUAACUUCGGGAGAA
rnacentral:rRNA from 1 species